rnacentral:rRNA from 1 species
AAUUGCAGAAUCCCGUGAACCAUCGAGUCUUUGAACGCAAGUUGCGCCCGAAGCCGUGAGGCUGAGGGCACGUCUGCCUGGGCGUCACGCAUCGCGUCGCCGCCCCCACCCGUCGUGUGGGGCGGCGGAUGUUGGCCUCCCGUGCCGUUAGGCGCGGCCGGCCUAAAUGAGAGUCCUCGGCGAGGGACGUCACGACGAGUGGUGGUUGAACGCCCCGACUCGAAUCCUGUCGUGCCGGUUCCCCCCGUCGUCUGCGGCUCUGCGGAUGACCCUCGUGCGCGCUCUCUCCGGAGUUGCGCCCCGACCGCGACCCCAGGUCAGGCGGGAUUACCCGCUGAGUUUA